CCUACGGGGGGCAGCAGUGGGGAAUAUUGCGCAAUGGGCGAAAGCCUGACGCAGCGACGCCGCGUGAGGGAUGAAGGUCUUCGGAUCGUAAACCUCUGUCAGCAGGGAAGAACGGUCACUGUGCUAAUCAGCAGUGCAUUGACGGUACCUGCAAAGGAAGCACCGGCUAACUCCGUGCCAGCAGCCGCGGUAAUACGGAGGGUGCGAGCGUUAAUCGGAAUUACUGGGCGUAAAGCGCUCGUAGGCGGUAUGUCAAGUCAAGGGUGAAAUCCCCGCGCUCAACGUGGGAACUGCCUUUGAAACUGGCAAACUGGAGUGUGUGAGAGGAUAGUGGAAUUCCAGGUGUAGGAGUGAAAUCCGUAGAUAUCUGGAGGAACAUCAGUGGCGAAGGCAUCUCACGAAUCCGCGAUUGACGCUGAUGCACGAAAGCGUGGGUAUCAAACAGGAUUAGAUACCCUGGUAGUC
rnacentral:rRNA from 1 species